rnacentral:rRNA from 1 species
UCUUGCUGUGCGGGUGCUUACCAUGCAGUCAGAACGGUAAGGCCCUUCGGGGUACACAGAGUGGCGAACGGGUGAGUAACACGUGGGUGAUCUGCCUUGCACUCUGGGAUAAGCCUGGGAAACUGGGUCUAAUACCGGAUAUGACCACAUGGCGCAUGUUGUGUGGUGGAAAGCUUUUGCGGUGCGAGAUGGGCCCGCGGCCUAUCAGCUUGUUGGUGGGGUAAUGGCCUACCAAGGCGACGACGGGUAGCCGGCCUGAGAGGGCGACCGGCCACACUGGGACUGAGACACGGCCCAGACUCCUACGGGAGGCAGCAGUGGGGAAUAUUGCACAAUGGGCGGAAGCCUGAUGCAACGACGCCGCGUGAGGGAUGACGGCCUUCGGGUUGUAAACCUCUUUCAGCAGGGACGAAGCGCAAGUGACGGUACCUGCAGAAGAGCACCGGCUAUAUACGUGCCAGCAGCCGCGGUAAUACUUAGGGUGCAAGCGUUGUCCGGAAUACCGGGCGUAAAGAUUC